UGCAUAUCAAUAAGCGGAGGWAAAGAAAYUAACAAGGAUUCCCCUAGUAACUGCGAGUGAAGCGGGAAAAGCUCAAAUUUGAAAUCUGGCGGUCUUUGGCCGUCCGAGUUGUAAUCUGGAGAAGCGUUUUCCGCGUUGGACCGUGUACAAGUCUCUUGGAACAGAGCGUCAUAGAGGGUGAGAAUCCCGUCCAUGGCACGGACUACCAAUGCUAUGUGAUACGCUCUCGAAGAGUCGAGUUGUUUGGGAAUGCAGCUCAAAAUGGGUGGUAAAUUCCAUCUAAAGCUAAAUAUUGGCGAGAGACCGAUAGCGAACAAGUACCGUGAGGGAAAGAUGAAAAGCACUUUGGAAAGAGAGUUAAACAGUACGUGAAAUUGUUGAAAGGGAAACGCUUGAAGUCAGUCGCGUCGGGCGGGACUCAGCCUUGCUUUUGCUUGGUGUACUUCCUGUCAGACGGGUCAACAUCGAUUUUGGUCGGCGGAUAAAGGCUUGAGGAAUGUGGCACCCUUCGGGGUGUGUUAUAGACUCUUGUCGCAUACGUCGACCGGGAUUGAGGACCGCAGCGCGCCCUUACGGGCCGGGGGUUCRCCCCACGUACCGCGCUUAGGAKGUUGGCAUAAURGCUUUAAGCRACCCGUCUUGAAACACGGACCA
rnacentral:rRNA from 1 species